rnacentral:rRNA from 1 species
UACGUAGGGUGCGAGCGUUAAUCGGAAUUACUGGGCGUAAAGCGUGCGCAGGCGGUUCGUUGUGUCUGUGGUGAAAGCCCCGGGCUUAACCUGGGAAUGGCCAUGGAAACUGGCGAACUGGAGUGUGGCAGAGGGGGGUGGAAUUCCGCGUGUAGCAGUGAAAUGCGUAGAGAUGCGGAGGAACACCGAUGGCGAAGGCAGCCCCCUGGGCUGACACUGACGCUCAGGCACGAAAGCGUGGGGAGCAAACAGG